GAUCAUGGCUCAGGAUGAACGCUGGCGGCGUGCCUAACACAUGCAAGUCGAACGGAACUUUUACGAGCAAGGCUCGGCCAAGCAAGUUCAAGUUAGUGGCGGACGGGUGAGUAACGCGUGAGCAACCUGCCUUUCAGAGGGGGAUAACGUUUGGAAACGAACGCUAAUACCGCAUAACGUAUGGAUAUCGCAUGGUGACCAUACCAAAGAUUUUAUCGCUGAGAGAUGGGCUCGCGUCCGAUUAGGUAGUUGGUGGGGUAACGGCUCACCAAGCCGACGAUCGGUAGCCGGACUGAGAGGUUGAACGGCCACAUUGGGACUGAGACACGGCCCAGACUCCUACGGGAGGCAGCAGUGGGGAAUAUUGCACAAUGGGGCGCAAGCCUGAAUGCAGCAACGCCGCGUGAGGGAAGACGGUUUUCGGAUUGUAAACCUCUGUCUUUGGUGACGAAGAAGUGACGGUAGCCAAGGAGGAAGCCACGGCUAACUACGUGCCAGCCGCCGC
rnacentral:rRNA from 1 species